rnacentral:rRNA from 1 species
UGAGGAAUAUUGGUCAAUGGACGAGAGUCUGAACCAGCCAAGUAGCGUGCAGGAUGACGGCCCUCCGGGUUGUAAACUGCUUUUAGUUGGGAAUAAAAAAGGUGACGUGUCAUCUAUUGUAUGUACCAUCAGAAAAAGGACCGGCUAAUUCCGUGCCAGCAGCCGCGGUAAUACGGAAGGUCCGGGCGUUAUCCGGAUUUAUUGGGUUUAAAGGGAGCGUAGGCCGUCUGUUAAGCGUGUUGUGAAAUGUCGGGGCUCAACCUGGGCAUUGCAGCGCGAACUGGCAGACUUGAGUGCGCAGGAAGUAGGCGGAAUUCGUCGUGUAGCGGUGAAAUGCUUAGAUAUGACGAAGAACUCCGAUUGCGAAGGCAGCCUGCUGUAGCGUAACUGACGCUGAAGCU